ACAUUCAAUGCUUGCUUCUUUCCGAGGCAUGCACAUGGCUCAAAAUUUGGCAUCAAUCUUACCCAUUCUUCUCAAUCCAAAGGCAUCUGAACCAUCCCUAACAAAACUAUUUCCUUGCCUUUUGUUCUCUCUCUCUCCCCUAUCAUCUCACGCCCAUUUUUCUCUGAUCUGAGAAAUUCAUCUUCCAUUUUCAGUCCCUCUUCUCUCUCACUCCAGUUACCCUUCUAAAAAACCAAGUGACGAAUCUGGAGAAGACAAAGAUGGAGAAGAUUACGUUUUUAUUGUGUGCCUCAGCCUUUAAGGUUCUGAUUUGCGGUUCUUGCUCAAUUUCUAUCCCAUUGAUUAAUUUCGUCAGCUUUUGUCGUUACAUGCUCAAUUCACCAUGUGUUUCCGGCAACAGAAUUGUUCUUCUCGACUCACGCUAUAUUUUUAAGGGUUGUCUUUGAAGCUCGCACUCCUGCUACUAAAAAAAAACAAAGAAUGGCAAGAGCAACUUCCCGUUGUUGUUCUCAAAGCUGAAGAAAUCAUGUAUUCCAAAGAAAUCAUGUUAUCCCUUUGAGAACCCCAUUCAAGAAUCAAAUAUGUCCAACAAAAUGAAUGAUGCACGAGUUACAGGAGCGAAGUUUGCUGCUGAAGUUAUCAAUUUCCUUUAACUAAUAAAUCAUUGCUGGUUAAAGCUGGUUUCAAGGUUCCAUGAGAUCAAGGACACCACUAUAUCAUUGAGUUAUGAAUUAAUCAAUGGAAUAGCUCUACUUCGUUGUAUAUGAAAUCCAAAGGAGUGUUUACAAAGGGGAUGACAGUUGAGAGGGCAAGCCUCGGGUCUGUUGCUGCUGUUAGGUGCUUUUUUCCUGUCAGUUUUUUCACUGUCUGCUGCUCUGGUGUGUGGCUUUGGCUGCAGUUUUUGUUUCGGUCCUGUUUUAGGCCUUAUGCGCAAUGGUGAUUUUGAUUUGUUGGUUUGUAUUGUGAUGGGGUAGGGUAUUUUGGUUUCCUGUUCGUUGCUUGCCGCAUACAUAAGGCUUCCGUAAUUAUGUUUGUUUCUUUGCAUGUUUUGUGCAA